UAGUGACGCGCAUGAAUGGAUUAA
rnacentral:ncRNA from 8 species